GUGUGUGGCGCUCUGCUUGCCAGGCAUCCAGUGGGACUUCAAUGGCAAGGAUUUUGCUGCUUGGGGUGUUUGACAUUGAAACGCUCGUCAAAAGUAAUUUGAGAGGGGAAUCCAAGGUAUCAAAGGGGGGAGAUGGGUAGAGAAGAAGCGGCCUAGAUGAAAUAAAAGUAAAAGCUAUAACGGAUGCAGUUAUGUCAAAGCACUCAGUUUCGGCUGGCCAGAUCGGAACAGCCCUGAAUGGGAAGAUGGCAGAACUAAGACUGGCAAUGUCCAGGAAAAAUGUUAAUUAAAAAUGAGUGUGUUUCCCCAGUGAGUGUGUUUGGAAAUGUUUUAAAUGUGGCUAGAAUUUUGAAAAUG